CGCAGCCGCGGUAAUUCCAGCUCCAAUAGCGUAUAUUAAAGUUGUUGCAGUUAAAAGCUCGUAGUUGAAUUUCGGGAUUGACACAUCGGUCGUGCCUUAAAGGGUAUGAACUGGUGUAGUCAAUUUCUCACCUUCUGGAGAACCGCGAUGCCCUUAAUUGGGUGUCACGGGGAACCAGGACCUUUACUUUGAAAAAUUAGAGUGUUUAAAGCAGGCAUUUUGCUUGAAUACAUUAGCAUGGAAUAAUAAAACUAGGACGGCAUGAUUCUAUUUUGUGGUUCUAGGAUCACCGUAAUGAUUAAUAGGGAUAGUUGGGGGCA
rnacentral:rRNA from 1 species